GCCACACCCGGGCGCCGCCGCCCCGCCUGCUGCGGACGCCGGGCCACGUCGUCGGACCAGCGCCCCGCACCCGCACUGGGUCUGGAGCGCGCCCUCGUCUCGGAAGGGUGACGGUGCCAGAGGAAGAUGCCGAAAGGACAAGAAUAAGCGAGGACCGUCCCAGGACUCCCUUGGGCGAUCUCGGGAGAAAACCCCCAGCAGGCCCUUGGUGAUCCUUACUGAGUUGGCAGUGGUGUGCUGUUCUCCCAUUUGGUCCAGUGGGGAAGGGAGGACAUUCCAGGGCCCCAGGGCCGUGAAGAGAGGACGAUCAGCAGGACACAGGAUCUGUCGCAGCCCCGUGGAC
rnacentral:lncRNA from 1 species